CCUUCACCUCAGAAACCCGGAAAUGCGAAAAGGGUCUAUAGAAAAGUUUUGCGGCACAGUCACCGAACACAUCCCUUGAAGUGGCCGGCAUUAGCAAGCAAGACACAGAAAGACCAAAAGAUGCACUGCUACUAGCUGAGACGGAGUGAACUGCAGCGCUAACAGUGUCACACAAAUGCGCACAUCCCAUAGCUGUGCAUUGAAGACCAAUGGCCAAGGUAAGGAUUUUCUUUAAAUAAUACAUUAAAUUUCAUAUUGUAUACCCCCAGAAAACUUGGAAUAUACAACACGUGUCACAUGGGAUCAUUCUGUGAUCCUUUUCCAUAUAAAAGCAUAAGCUUUUUUUUUUUUUUUUAAAUACACGUUUGUGGUCCGAACAACACCAAGGUGAGUUGAUUUUCAGUGCAAUUACACUGAAAAUUCUGUCAUCACUUACUAACUGUUGAAAACAUCCAAAUACUUCCCAAAACGAGCUAAAAUGCCAUCAUUUUAUCAAUUUUAGAUCAAUUCAAACAGCUAAAAACAGGUGAAACAAGCUAAAACAAUAACAUUCGAUCAAUUCUUGCGUUUUAUGCACUUCUCAUAGUGCAGCUCAUCCCUGCACCGCCUCUAUGCUUUAUUGCCCUUGAUGGCAGCCCAAGUGGGAUACUCUUCCUCAGAACCGCCUGACCUCCAUAAGUAUAUCUGCGUCCUUGGCGAGAGACGUGAUCACGAUCGCUCGGUUAGAGUGUGCAGGGCAGCCAGAUGUCUUUCUCAUUGCCUUCAAAGUAUUGUCUCUCCAACUGUUUAUUUAUUAAUGUUGAAUUCACACUGUGAUAACUCUCCCCCGGCAAAUAGUGUUUAUUAUACCAGAACCGUGAAAAGUGGCAAGUUUUUAACUCUUUCCCUACCAGCGUUUUUUUUUUUUUUUUUUUUUU